CUUGAGACCGGAAAUGCCAAGUUUUGAUGAUCGGUUAAUAAACUAACAGGUUGUAAGGAAAGAAAGUAUUACUAAAAUUUGUUUCAUUUAAAUGCAGAAUUCUUAAGAUGAUAUUAAGUAAAUGAUAUUGUUUUUUAACUAAAAUAAAUUUAAAGAUUUAUCCCGGUAUUAAUCGUGGCUGUAUCGUGAUUGGUCAAAAUUUCAAACUUUGACUUUCGUGAAUUCUGAUUGGACAAUUGCCAUUCCGCCAUCAAAUUUUGAAAUGGACAAAGAAGACAGGAGUUGUUGAGAAGAUUUUCCUGAUUUUUUCAAGAAAUGUGCAGAAUCACAGCGUGUUGUAUGUAGUAAUGAAACUGCAAGCAGUGGUUUCAUAAAGAUAGACAUGCUUAAGACCUGGAUGAUAUGGCUUUAGUUGUGGAUGACCAUUUCCGUUCAGGGUAAGUCUGAUAUACAAACAAGUCAUUUGAAAUAAUUCAUUUGUGUUUGCUUAUCUCAAUUUCUAUAUUAUUGCUUUGCACUUAGAAAUGAAUUCCAUUUGGAAUAUUUCUAGAAUUUUAAUAAGAAAUGCAUGAUUUUAUCAUCUAUAUCAAAGUCUAUGCAGCCAUGUAUAUCUAGUGAUGUACAUUCUAUAUAUAAUCAAAUUAUGGCUGACCUUUUUAAAAAGAGUAUAAUUGUAUUGCAGAAAAAAUCCCAACCAAGUCCAGCUAGCAGACUGUACACCAGAUUGAAGAUACAUCAUUAAUACAAGAUGAAAAAAGAUUAAUGGAGGACGAGGAUAAUACUAUGAAAGAGCAAGAGCAACCGUUCCCAUAGAAAUACAUGCAGCCAUGUCAACAGAAACCAGUUUUCACCUGCCAGGUGCUGGUCACAUUUAUAUUCAACAUGGGAACAGAUUCAAGAAACAGAUCCAGUUGUUUGCUGAUAAAUUACUGCAGGUCAUUAAUAUCAUCUAGAACCAGGACUGUUUUAAAAAUCAUUCUAGUAUGUUUGGAACAAAAUCAUGCUAGGAUAUGUUAGGAAUUUAUCCUAAAACAUGCUUUAUGAAGGUUUUGGUCAAAUUUUGGUUUACAAAAUAAUGUUUCUCAAACUUUCUAUUCAAAUUGAGCAAGA